rnacentral:SRP_RNA from 1 species
GCCAGGUGCAGUGACACAUGCCUGCAAGUCCCAGUUACUGGGGAGGCUGAGGUGGGAGGAUCACUUGAGCCCAGGAGUUCUGAGUUGUAGUGCGCUAUGCCAGUCAGGUGUCCACACUAAGUUCGGCAUCAGUAUGGUGACCUCCCAGGAGCAGCGGACCACCAGGUGGCCUAAGGAAGGGUGAAUCGGCCCAGGUCAGAAACAGAGCAGGUCAAAACUCCUGUGCUGAUCAGUUGUGGGAUGGCGCCUGUGAAUAGCCACUGUACUCCAGCCUGGGCAACAUAGCAAGACCCUAUCUCU